rnacentral:tRNA from 1 species
UCCCUGGUAGUAUAUCGGUUUAGUACACGCGCCUGUCAUAGGUGCAUUCCUGCUAGAAAGGACGCGCGAAAGCUGGGUUCGACUCCCAGCCAGGGAG